UUGAACGCUGGCGGCAGGCCUAACACAUGCAAGUCGAGCGGUUGAGAGUAGCUUGCUACUUGAUGCAGCGGCGGACGGGUGAGUAACGCGUGGGAAUCUGCCCAGUAGUGGGGGACAACAGCCGGAAACGGCUGCUAAUACCGCAUACGCCCUACGGGGGAAAGGGGGGGAUCUUCGGACCUCUCGCUAUUGGAUGAGCCCGCGUCGGAUUAGCUAGUUGGUAGGGUAAAGGCCUACCAAGGCUACGUUCCGUAACUGGUCUGAGAGGAUGAUCAGUCACACUGGAACUGAGACACGGUCCAGACUCCUACGGGAGGCAGCAGUGGGGAGUAUUGGACAAUGGGGGAAACCCUGAUCCAGCCAUGCCGCGUGUGUGAAGAAGGCCUUAGGGUUGUAAAGCACUUUCAGUGGGGAGAAAGGUUUGUCACCUAAUACGUGAUGAAAUUGAUGUUACCCACAGAAGAAGCACCGGCUAACUCCGUGCCAGCCGCCGCCGCCGUAA
rnacentral:rRNA from 1 species